ACUGGAGUGGCGGAGUGGUUAACGCGAUAGACUUGAAUGCUCAUGCAUACGAUAUCUAUUACCUUAGGGUGCGCAGGUUCAAAUCCUGUCUCCAGUG